UACGUAGGGUGCGAGCGUUAAUCGGAAUUACUGGGCGUAAAGCGUGCGCAGGCGGUCCGCAAAGUCUGAUGUGAAAGCCCCGGGCUCAACCUGGGAACUGCAUUGGAAACUAACGGGCUUGAGUGUGGCAGAGGGGGGUGGAAUUCCACGUGUAGCAGUGAAAUGCGUAGAGAUGUGGAGGAACACCGAUGGCGAAGGCAGCCCCCUGGGCUAACACUGACGCUCAGGCACGAAAGCGUGGGGAGCAAACAGG
rnacentral:rRNA from 1 species